AAAAUGGAAGCUCCUCAUCAUGGCCUAUGAAGCCCUAGGAGAGCUGACUCCUGCUGGACUCAUAUCUCCUACCACAUCCCCCCAUGUUACUUCUCUUUAUUUUUUGAGAUGGCAUCUUGCUCUGUUGCCCAGGCUGGAGUGCAAUGGUGCGAUCUUGGCUCACUGCAAACUCCACCUUCAGGGUUCAAGUGAUUCUCCUGCCCCAGCCUCCCGAGUAGCUGGGAUUACAGGCACAGGCCACCAUACCUGGCUAAUUUUUGUGUUUUUAGUAGAGAUGGGGUUUCACCAUAUUGGCCAGGCUGGUCUUGAACUCCUGAUCUCAGGUGAUCCUCCCAUCUCAGCCUCCCAAAGUGCUGGGAUUACAGGCUUGAGCCACCAUGCCCGGCCACUUCUCUCUCUUUUUUUUUUUUUUUUUUGAGACAGUCUCACUCUGUUGCCCAGGCUGGAGUGCAAUGGCACGAUCUCAGCUCAUUACAACCUCUGCCUCUCAGGUUCAAGCGAUUCUCCUACCUUAGCCUCCUGAGGAACUGGGACUGCAGGCACCUGCCACCACGCCCAGCUAAUUUUUGUAUUUUUAGUAGAUAUGUUGGCCAGGCUGGUCUCGAACUCCUGACUUCAAGUGAUCUGCCUGCCUUGGCCUCCCAAAGUGUUGGGAUUACAGGCGUGAGCCACUGCGCCCGGCACCCCCAUGUUAUUUCUCGAUCAUGCGUAGCGUGUUCCUCCCUCCAUGGUCCCUUGGAAUAUUCUUUCUCUAGAUCUUCAGGUGGCAGGCCCCUCACUUCAUUCAAGUAUCUGCUCCACUGUCAGCUCCUUUGAGAGGCCUCCCCUGAUCACUUCCUCUAAAAUUGCUCACCCUAGGGUUCAAAUGAUCCUAGGUGGGAGGACCCCUUGAGCCCAGGAGUUUGAGGCUGCAGUGAGCUAUGAUUGCCCCACUGCACUCCAGCCUGGGCGACAGAGCAAGACCUUGUCUCUUAUAAAAAUAAAUAAUAAAUAAAUAACUCAUUCCAACCACACCCAUUGUCGUUCUGUGUCCCCCUUACCCUGCGUCAUCAUCUUUUUCUUGGCAUUUGUCACUCUUUGAAGUUAUAUUGGGCUGGUCCAGAUGGAGUGAGUUAUCUCAAUUGAUUGUUCACAAGCAGUUACUGAUGGAACUGCUGGUUCUGUUCUUUUCCCACUUCUCACUACUGCAUUUGUCUAGUUAAAAAAAAAGUAUAUUAUUUAAUUUGGGCUCAAUAAAUGUGUAAAUUAAAGAAUACAGCUCUUUUUUGUUUUUGAGACAGGGUCUUUCUCUGUCACCCUGGAGCAGUGGUGUGAUCAUGGCUUAUUGCAGCCUUGAUCUCCGGGGCUCAAGCAAUCCACCUGUCUCAACCUCACGAGUAGUAGGGACUACAGAUGUAUGCCACUACACUGGGCUAAUCUUUUUAUUUUUUCUAGAGAUGGGGUCUUGCUAUGUUGCCCAGGCUGGUCACGAACUCCUUGGCUCAAGCCGUCUUCCUGCCUUGGCCUCCUGAAGUGCUGGGAUUACAGGCAUGAACCACUGUGCCCAACUUAGGAAUACAGUUCUUUAACGUAAAGAUUCUAGGCUGGGCAUGGUGGCUCACGCCUGUAAUCCCAGCACUUUGGGAGGUCAAGGCAGGUGGAUCACCUGAGGUCAGGAGUUCAAGACCAGCCUGGACAACAUGGGGAAAACCCAUCUCUACUAAAAAUACAACAAUUAGCUGGGUGUGGUGGCAUGUGCCUGUAAUCCCAGCUACUCGGGAGGCUGAGGCAGGAGAAUCACUUGAACCUGGGAGUCAGAGGUUGUGGUGAGCCAAGAUCACACCACUGCACUCUAGCCUGGGCAACAGAGCGAGACUCCAUCUCAAUAAAUAAAUAAAUAAAUAAUAAAGUAAAAAAAAAUAAAGAUUCUGAUGGCUACCUACCAUCUAGGGCAAUGCUGUCUAAUGGAAAUACAAUGUGGAUCACAAAUGUAAUUUAAAAUUUCUAGGAUCUCUCUGUUACUUCUUAAGCUUCCUAAGUAGUGAGUGUGAACAGGGUUGAGCAGUUGUGUGAAGAGAAGCAAAACCCCCAGGUGGUUGUAGCUUUUAGUUGUGGCAAAGGUGGUGAGCUCCCCUCACCGGGGCAAAAACAUUCUACUUCAUAUAAAAAGCACUGAAACAAGAGAUGUAUGACUUGGUUUUAGUCCAUUAAGUAGUUCUGUGACCUUGGGCAGAUCACGUGGGUCCAGGAUGGCAAAUCGACUUUAUUUUCUUCUAUUAAUUGAUAGUGGCUGCCUGGAGGUUGGCUGAGGACAGGAUUCUGAGACUUAGUCUGAACUUCUUGGGAAGAAUGCCUUGAUCAAUUCGUGAUGUCUAUGCUGGGCACCCCAGGAGAAUUGGGCAGGCUGUUCCAAGACUCAAUUUUCUCCCCAUUCAAAAGUGGAUAAAAAUAACAGCUCUCUCAGCCCAAUAUGGUCAUUUACGAAGCUCAAAUGGAGUAGGCUGAGAAAAUGCUUUCAAAGGCCAACACAACACUUAGAUAUUAUUAGAGAUUUGCCUUCUUAAUUGGGUCAAGGCUAAUGUAAUGGGUCUGUGUGUGUGUAUUUUCCAACAGCAGAAAA
rnacentral:lncRNA from 1 species